UACAGAGGUCUCAAGCGUUGUUCGGAUUCAUUGGGCGUAAAGGGUGCGUAGGUGGCGUCGUAAGUCGGGGGUGAAAUCCUGGAGCUCAACUCCAGAACUGCCUUCGAUACUGGCGAUCUUGAGUCCGGAAGAGGUGAGUGGAACUCCUAGUGUAGAGGUGGAAUUCGUAGAUAUUAGGAAGAACACCAGUGGCGAAGGCGGCUCACUGGUCCGGUACUGACGCUGAGGUGCGAAAGCGUGGGGAGCAAACAGG
rnacentral:rRNA from 1 species